GUCUACGACCAUACUACCCCAAAUGUACCCAAUCCCGUCUGAUCUCAGAAGUUAAGCAGGGUUGGACCUGGUUAGUACUUGGUUGGGAGAAAAAGUGGUAUACAUAUAGACA
rnacentral:rRNA from 1 species